AUUGAACGCUGGCGGAAUGCUUUACACAUGCAAGUCGAACGGUAGAGGGGGCAACCCCUCGAGAGUGGCGAACGGGUGAGUAAUAUAUCGGAACGUGCCCAGUCGUGGGGGAUAACGUAGCGAAAGUUACGCUAAUACCGCAUACGAUCUAAGGAUGAAAGCGGGGGAUCGCAAGACCUCGCGCGAUUGGAGCGGCCGAUAUCAGAUUAGGUAGUUGGUGGGGUAAAGGAUCACCAAGCCAACGAUCUGUAGCUGGUCUGAGAGGACGAACAGCCACACUGGAACUGAGACACGAUCCAGACUCCUACGGGAGUCAGCAGUGGGUAAUUUUGGACAAUGGACGCAAGUCUGAUCCAGCCAUUCCGCGUGCAGGAUGAAGGCCCUCGGGUUGUAAACUGCUUUUGUACGGAACGAAAAGGUCUCUCUUAAUACGGGGGACUCAUGACGGUACCGUAAGAAUAAGCACCGGCUAACUACGUGCCAGCAGCCGCCGUAA
rnacentral:rRNA from 1 species